UACGAAGGGUGCAAACGUUGCUCGGAAUCAUUGGGCGUAAAGCGCACGUAGGCGGCUUCGCAAGUCGGAUGUGAAAUCCCUCGGCUCAACCGAGGACGUGCAUCCGAAACUGCGAGGCUUGAGUACUGAAGAGGAUCGCGGAAUUCCCGGUGUAGAGGUGAAAUUCGUAGAUAUCGGGAGGAACACCAGUGGCGAAGGCGGCGAUCUGGGCAGAUACUGACGCUGAGGUGCGAAAGCGUGGGGAGCAAACAGG
rnacentral:rRNA from 1 species